UACGUAGGCAGCGAGCGUUGUUCGGAAUUACUGGGCGUAAAGAGUGUGUAGGCGGUGCUCUAAGUUCGGUGUGAAAUCUCCUGGCUCAACUGGGAGGGUGCGCCGGAAACUGGAAUGCUUGAACAUGGGAGAGGAAAGCGGAAUUCCUGGUGUAGCGGUGAAAUGCGUAGAUAUCAGGAGGAACACCUGCGGUGUAGACGGCUUUCUGGACCAUUGUUGACGCUGAGACACGAAAGCGUGGGUAGCAAACAGG
rnacentral:rRNA from 1 species